ACCUUGUCUUGAAAAACAUUUUUUUGUUUUAUUUAUUUAUUUUUUUUUUAAAAAAGAUUUAUUUAUUUAUUAUAUGUAAGUACACUGUAGCUGUCUUCAGACACUCUAGAAGAGGGAGUCAGAUCUUGUUACGGAUGGUUGUGAGCCACCAUGCGGUUGCUGGGAUUUGAACUCUGGACCUUUGGAAGAGCAGUCAGGUGCUCUUACCCACUGAGCCAUCUCACCAGCCCUGUUUUAUUUUUUAAAGUGUGUGUCUGCCAGUGUCACAGGGACUAGAAGAAGGCAUUGAGUCCCCUGAAGCUGGAGUUGUAAACUACCUCUCAUGGGUGCUAGGAUUUUAUUCUUAGAAGAGCAGCAAAUGAUCUAAACCACUAAGCCACCUCUCCACCCAGCCUUGGAAGAAAGAAUCUAAUUCUUAAUUCUUGUUAAAGGUCUGUAAGAUGCACCUUCCAUGUGUGAGUUAUUUAGAGAUGAAUGGGAUGCAGUUAUGCCUGCCAGGAAGGAGUUUUAGUCAGAUGGAAGGAAGUAGAUGGUUCCCAGUAGGUGUAAUGUGGAGCAGAACAUCUGAGUAGUGAGAGAGAGAUGGCGCAGAGGAACAAAUCUCCUUUCCAGACAUCUGAGGUCAGCUGAGGGCGCUCUUUGGCAAGAAGCUUCCCUUGGUUUGUUACUCUUACCACCGUGAUUACUUUUGUUUUUGAGUUAGUGCUGCCUAAAAGAGGGUGGUGCAAAGACAGUGAUGACAGAAACCUUAGUAUCUAUAGGUCACUGUGCUUUUGUUGUUGGUGUGUUUCUAAACUUUUUUUAUAUUAUUUAUUUAUUUCGUGUGUGGCUGCAUGCCAAGACAUGUGUUUGGAGGUCAGGGGAGUUAGUUCCUUUCUUCUAUCAUAUAUGUCAUGGGAAUUGAACUCAGGCCACAGUUGAGCUAUCGUGUUGGCCCCUUUGUUUUGAAAGUCUAUCAAUUGCUUUCAUUGGUUUUACAGAUGACCUUGAACUUCUAGUUCUCUGGACUUCAUAAGUGCUGAAGUUUCAGAUCUGCAACAUCUUGCCAUUUGGUGUAGUAUUGGGGGAAAAACCCAUGGCUUUGUGUGUGCUAGGCAAAUAAGUACUCUACCAACUGAGCUAUACCCCCUGCUCUUAUUUUUGUUUUUUGAAGCAAAAUAAAAGGAUGUAGUCCAACCUGGCCUUAAACUCAUGAUCGUCCUGAUUUGGCCACAUGAGGAAUUACUGGAUUGUGGCCCUCUGUGGGUCCAGAUCAUUUUUUGUUAUAGAUACUUGAUAAGGAAAAAUUGAUUUCUGGAUUUUGGUAGUGACUUUGUUAUUUAAAGAACUGUUCAAUUCCUUUAAUUUUAGAUUUGUUUAUUUUUAUUUAUGUGGAUAUUGGUGUUUUGUACCCAUGCCUUUGGGUCCCACAUGCAAGCCUUGUGCUGCAAAAGCCAGAAGAGGUUGUCAAAUUCCUGAAAUUGGAGUUACAGUAGCUUGUGAGCUGCCGUUUGGGAACUGGGAAUUAAACCCCAGUCCUCUGUAAGAGCAGCCAGGGUUCUUAACCUACUGAACCAUCUUUCCAGCCCAAUUUCUAGUUAUUUUAAUAAAAUUAGUCAAUAUUACAUGGUACUUUGUUUUCCUCACAUAUUUUUCAAGCACUGUAAGCACACAUAUUCUCUCAUGUUAUUGCUGAGGUAAGUGCUAUUUUAUCCCUGUUGAAUAGAAGGAAAAAUAUUGAAGUUAAUUAGUUUGCUUAAAGUAGACACAGUACAAUUUGAAACCAAGCAAUAUGGUUCUAGAGACUAUGCUUUAGCCAGGCUGCAAAAGAAUGCGAGCAGUGUAUGGAAAAUGAGAUUGUUACUUUUCCUUUUAAAAAUGACCUAUUGCUCUUUUUUUAGUGAUUUGUAUAUGUAGUUCUCACUGGUUUCUGACUUGAGAUUCUCUUGCUUCAGCCUCCCAAGUACUGGGAUUACAUGUGUUUAGGGAACAAGGAGUGCACCACUAAGUCAGGAGAUUUUUGGUGUUUAUGAUAGGAGGUAAAGAAUAUGCUCCCUGUCUCUUGGGUCUUGCUAGAUGGUAUACAUAAAUAACUCUACUAUAGUAGCACUUAGUAGUAGAAAUAAAAUGUCAGUAAGGGCCAGGUGACCAGACAAAGUUACAUAGUAAGACCCUGUUUC
rnacentral:lncRNA from 1 species